rnacentral:rRNA from 1 species
GACGGAGGGGGCAAGCGUUGUCCGGAAUCAUUGGGCGUAAAGCGCGUGUAGGCGGCCCGAUAAGUCCGCUGUGAAAGUCCAGGGCUCAACCCUGGGAUGCCGGUGGAUACUGUCGGGCUCGAGUCCGGAAGAGGAGUGUGGAAUUCCUGGUGUAGCGGUGAAAUGCGCAGAUAUCAGGAGGAACACCAAUGGCGAAGGCAGCACUCUGGGCCUUACCUGACGCUCAGGCGCGAAAGCUAGGGGAGCGAACUGG